rnacentral:lncRNA from 1 species
UUGAGUUCGUACAGUCUUGCACUUGUACAUCAUUUAAAAUUCAAUAAUUCUUGAACUGUGGUAAAUAGAGUCUGAACCUUUGUCCGAUCAGACAAGCCUAUGAAGUUUUAUAAAAGUUAUCCAAACCAAUUGAUGGUAAGGAUUCUUAGACUGAAAGAACACCCCUCUUAUGAUAGGGGAGUACCCCAGGUAUCUAAUAUAAG